rnacentral:rRNA from 1 species
CAGCCGCCGCGGUAAUACGUAGGUGGCAAGCGUUGUCCGGAAUUAUUGGGCGUAAAGCGCGCGCAGGUGGUUUAAUAAGUCUGAUGUGAAAGCCCACGGCUCAACCGUGGAGGGUCAUUGGAAACUGUUAAACUUGAGUGCAGGAGAGAAAAGUGGAAUUCCUAGUGUAGCGGUGAAAUGCGUAGAGAUUAGGAGGAACACCAGUGGCGAAGGCGGCUUCUUGGCCUGUAACUGACACUGAGGCGCGAAAGCGUGGGGAGCAAACAGGAUUAGAUACCCCGGUAGUCCCUGUCUCUUAUAC